AGGUGAAAAAAAAAAAAAAAAAAAAAAAAAAAAAAAAAAAAAAAAAAAA
rnacentral:ribozyme from 13 species